rnacentral:rRNA from 1 species
AUACGUAGGAUGCAAGCGUUAUCCGGAAUUAUUGGGCGUAAAGGGCUCGUAGGCGGUUCGUCGCGUCCGGUGUGAAAGUCCAUCGCUUAACGGUGGAUCCGCGCCGGGUACGGGCGGGCUUGAGUGCGGUAGGGGAGACUGGAAUUCCCGGUGUAACGGUGGAAUGUGUAGAUAUCGGGAAGAACACCAAUGGCGAAGGCAGGUCUCUGGGCCGUUACUGACGCUGAGGAGCGAAAGCGUGGGGAGCGAACAGGAUUAGAUACCCUGGUAGUCCACGCCGUAAACGGCGGAUGCUGGAUGUGGGGCCCGUUCCACGGGUUCCGUGUCGGAGCUAACGCGUUAAGCAUCCCGCCUGGGGAGUACGGCCGCAAGGCUAAAACUCAAAGAAAUUGACGGGGGCCCGCACAAGCGGCGGAGCAUGCGGAUUAAUUCGAUGCAACGCGAAGAACCUUACCUGGGCUUGACAUGUUCCCGACGAUCCCAGAGAUGGGGUUUCCCUUCGGGGCGGGUUCACAGGUGGUGCAUGGUCGUCGUCAGCUCGUGUCGUGAGAUGUUGGGUUAAGUCCCGCAACGAGCGCAACCCUCGCCCCGUGUUGCCAGCGGAUUGUGCCGGGAACUCACGGGGGACCGCCGGGGUUAACUCGGAGGAAGGUGGGGAUGACGUCAGAUCAUCAUGCCCCUUACGUCCAGGGCUUCACGCAUGCUACAAUGGCCGGUACAACGGGAUGCGACAGCGCGAGCUGGAGCGGAUCCCUGAAAACCGGUCUCAGUUCGGAUCGCAGUCUGCAACUCGACUGCGUGAAAGCGGAGUCGCUAGUAAUCGCGAAUCAGCAACGUCGCGGUGAAUGCGUUCCCGGGCCUUGUACACACCGCCCGUCAAGUCAUGAAAGUGGGCAGCACCCGAAGCCGGUGGCCUAACCCCUUGCGGGAGGGAGCCGUCUAAGGUGAGGCUCGUGAUUGGGACU